UGAAUGAACAUAUCAAACAAAGGUGAGCAGUUGGGUUCCAGUCCUUGCCUCAGUGGUAGACUCUGAGGAGUUUCAACACGAGGUCUUGGGUUCGAAACCCAUAGGUGGUGAAAUCCCACUAUGGCGUGCGUGGGUGUGUGUCGGGUGCGCAUGUGUAAAAAACAAAACAAA